AUCAUUUUCCCAUUUACCCAUGAUUCAAGGAUUAAUAACUAAUCCCAUCAAAGGACAUCUGCUUAGAUUGUUCCUUGUCAGUGAAAGUAAAUAGAGCCUUUUAGUCUUUAGACCUAAACUCCUCUGAGGUUAUUAUGCAGAGGAACCUCCUACAAGCGGUCGCUUUCUCUGUCGCUCCUGCUGUGACUAACCCUGGAGGGAGAAAGCAAACUUUGCAAGUCCCUGGACAUAAAGGUUAUUUGCUAGAAUGGAGGAGACUUUUAUGAGAGGCCGGGGAACAUUUUUUUAACGAGCUGGGCUGUAAUCAGGCCGUGUUCGUGCCAGGCAUCCCUUACAACAGCCAUUCUCCAAAAGAGCUGUCCAGAUCGAAGCCCUUUGAGGCAGAAGAAAAGGCACCUGCUGGAUGGAGGGCUCCAGGCAGCUGAGCCAGGGCUUCAGCCCCCUUCCCCUCUGAAGCUACCGAGUUACACGGGUGCCUUUGAAAGCAUCGAGCUUCAGUUCAGCCUUUGGGGUGAACUAUUAAAAUAUCCUGAAUUACUAAAACCACCUGAGGCAGGAAUCACUUGCUGGGAAGAGCCAGGUGGAAGCCAUGAGGGUUCCAGACGUGAGGGUGUUUUUGGAAGGAGGAUUUGUCUUCCUGUGGGGUUCUUAAGGAUGGAGCAAAGGGCACUCGACAGAGGCUGUGGGAUCUCAGGACAGAGGCUUUGGGACCCCAGGACAGAGGCUGCAUUUCAGGAGUUGCCUGAACAGGCUGGCACAGCUCUGGGGAUGGUUUCAGAGCUUCUCUGCCGCUGUCCUUCAGUGUGCACCCACUUGUUUCAAAAUGCAGCUUUUGUUGGCGUUGUCUUUGUCUGGGGCACGCUGAAGCAGAGGCACCACAUGGCCCAGGCAGCAGCAAAAGUGCCCAGUGAAGGUAGAAAAAUGCCAUCCAUGGGGUGGAGGUUGGCACCAAGACAAAGAGAUUUAUUUAGAAAUCAACCAGCUCCAGAUUCUUUCCCCUUCCCCUGAACCUUCCAGCCCUGAUCUGCUCAGGCAGCUGUACCCCAGAUUUUGAGGUGACAGGGACUGCUGGGGGAAUCUCAAACAAAAAUCUGUAUCUGAAUGUCCCAGGGCAGCAGCCACAGACAUUCAGAGGCAGGGCUGGUCGUGUGGACAUUGUCUAAAGAACCACUUGUCUGAAGUCACACCUCUGUGGACAUCUCAGUGAAAAUACCUGAAAAGCCAAAUAUCCUCUUUGACCCACAUGUGGUAUUUCUUACAGAGCUCAUACAUCUCCCACACUGAGCUGGCAGGCAGAAAAAGGAGGGAAUUUCCUUUGAAAACCCCCACAGGGAAGCUGCAGGCUGCUCCACGCUGGGGCUCUGCAGGAUCCCAGAGGUGCUCCCCGGUGCCCACUGAGAGCAGGGAGCUUUUCCCCAGCUUUGCUCCAACCCCUCCUCUUUAAAGUUCAGUAUCAGAGAAAAUAAAGAGGUGCUUUGAGAUCCAAAAAAUGAACAUCUGUCCCGACGGAAGGCAAAGCAUAAUCUGGUGGGCGAAGCCGCCGUCCUCGCUGGCGGAUGGGGAAGUGAUGCCAGAGGCUCUGGGGUCUGUAGUGAGGAUUUCUGCAGGGAAAACGGCUCAUCUCGUUGGCCGUCGGUAGCUGCGAAUUUGCCAAGAGAGGGGGAACAGAAAGGGAAUUUUAAAUUUUUUCAAUUUCCUUUCCAUAAAGUGCUUCCUGCGUUUCCAAACUCACGGGAGGUUUGCAGGAACGUCGGCUGAAAUCCCGAGUAAUAAUAAUAAUAAUAAUAAUAAUAAUAAUAAUAAUAAUAAUAAUAAUAAUAAUAAUAAUAAUAAUAGAAACCGGGACGGACAGAAAUGGUCGGGGUAACACAGGGUCCGCCCGCGGCCGUGCAGGAUGUUCGUCGGUUCUGCCCAUUCGCAGUAAAUAAAUGAAUUUUUAAAAUAGAA